GACGAACGCUGGCGGUGUGCCUAAUACAUGCAAGUCGAGCGACGCAUAUCGGAGGGGUAACCCACUGGUAUGACGGAGCGGCGAACGGGUGCGUAACACGUGAGCAACCUGCCCCACAGACCGGGAUAGCCCGAGGAAACUCGGAUUAACACCGGAUACCCUCACCGGACCGCAUGGCCUGGUGAGGAAAGACUUUUGUGCUGUGGGAUGGGCUCGCGGCCUAUCAGCUAGUUGGUGAGGUAACGGCUCACCAAGGCAACGACGGGUAGCUGGUCUGAGAGGAUGAUCAGCCACACUGGAACUGAGACACGGUCCAGACUCCUACGGGAGGCAGCAGUAGGGAAUCUUGCGCAAUGGGCGAAAGCCUGACGCAGCAACACCGCGUGAGGGAUGACGGCCUUCGGGUUGUAAACCUCUUUCAGGAGGGACGAAAAUGACGGUACCUCCAGAAGAAGCCCCGGCCAACUACG
rnacentral:rRNA from 1 species